GGCCACGACAGCUACGGCAACUCGCACGGCAACAUGGUGGCGAAAAUCGUGUCUCCGAUCGUGUCCGUGGUGGUGGUCACCCUGGUGGGCGCGGCGGCCAGCUACUUCCAGCGCAACCGCAGAAGGAACUGCUUUAGAGCCAAUGGCCCAGAGACUGUGUGAGGACUUCAGGGUGAUGUGGGGAAACCUCCCUCUCGACCAGAGCCCCCCGGUUCCCCGCUCCGUGGAAAGUCUCCUUUGUUCUUGGCAUCGUCCGCCGCCCUGAAAGUGUCUCCUCUCCUGCUGGGCCUCGAGGAGCUGCUGAACCAAGAGUCCCCCGCUCGUGCUGUGUGGUCUGCUGCUCCUACAGAUGAAUUUGACAGCGGGACCUGGUGGUCCCAACGCGCCCCGAUGUCUUGGUUGCAUCGUUCCCGGGGACGCAGGGAUUUUUGUCUCUGCACUGAGCUCUGACACUACCUCCUGGUGCAAUAAAAACACGCCUGGUGUUGGAGCCUGCGGGCUUGCUCAUCGCACACGGUGUCGGCAGAAGGGGCCCUGGUCUGGGGCAGUUCUGUGAUCGGUUUCUGGCGGGAAAGGGGUUUCUGGCGGGCGAUGGUAAGAACUCCACCGGAGCCGUGCUCCUCCGUGGCGUCCGCCGCCCUGGGUGCCCAGCUUCCAGGUGGGGGGCGGAAGCUGGUCCCCUGGUCCCCUGCCGCUCCCGGACUUAACAGCAUUUGUAUCGCCUGCGGGAACUAA